GUCCGUAACAAGGUUUCCGUAGGUGAACCUGCGGAAGGAUCAUUACCGAGUGCGGGUCCUUUGGGCCCAACCUCCCAUCCGUGUUAUUAUACCCUGUUGCUUCGGCGGGCCCGCCGCUUGUCGGCCGCCGGGGGGGCGCCUUUGCCCCCCGGGCCCGUGCCCGCCGGAGACCCCAACACGAACACUGUCUGAAAGCGUGCAGUCUGAGUUGAUUGAAUGCAAUCAGUUAAAACUUUCAACAAUGGAUCUCUUGGUUCCGGCAUCGAUGAAGAACGCAGCGAAAUGCGAUAACUAAUGUGAAUUGCAGAAUUCAGUGAAUCAUCGAGUCUUUGAACGCACAUUGCGCCCCCUGGUAUUCCGGGGGGCAUGCCUGUCCGAGCGUCAUUGCUGCCCUCAAGCCGGCUUGUGUGUUGGGUCGCCGUCCCCCUCUCCGGGGGGACGGGCCCGAAAGGCAGCGGCGGCACCGCGUCCGAUCCUCGAGCGUAUGGGGCUUUGUCACAUGCUCUGUAGGAUUGGCCGGCGCCUGCCGACGUUUUCCAACCAUUUUUUCCAGGUUGACCUCGGAUCAGGUAGGGAUA
rnacentral:rRNA from 1 species